GCAACUGUGGCAUUUGGUAUGUGACUGGAUAAAAGUGAUGUUGGAGUUGUAAUUCAUUAUAGUCUGCCUAAAAGUCUGGAGGAGUAUGUGCAGGAGAUAGGCCGUGCUGGAAGGGAUGGGAGGUUGUCCUAUUGUCACCUAUUCUAUGAUGAUGAAACAUAUUUCAAACUUCGCAGUCUAAUGUACAGGUAAUAAAAUUAUUUUUUCUUUCUUUCUUAUUGUCA